CCAUUCUGGGUACCGCAGCUAACGCAGUAAGUACCCCGCCUGGGAAGUACGGUCGCAAGACUAAAACUCAAAGGAAUUGACGGGGGCCCGCACAAGCGGCGGAGCAUGCGGAUUAAUUCGAUGCAACGCGAAGAACCUUACCAAGGCUUGACAUAUAGAGGAAAAGUGCAGAAAUGCACUCCCCGCAAGGUCUCUAUACAGGUGGUGCAUGGUUGUCGUCAGCUCGUGUCGUGAGAUGUUGGGUUAAGUCCCGCAACGAGCGCAACCCUCGUCCUAUGUUGCCAGCACGUAAUGGUGGGAACUCAUGGGAUACUGCCGGGGUCAACUCGGAGGAAGGUGGGGAUGACGUCAAAUCAUCAUGCCCCUUAUGUCUUGGGCUUCACGCAUGCUACAAUGGCCGGUACAGAGGGCUGCAAUACCGCAAGGUGGAGCGAAUCCCAAAAAGCCGGUCUCAGUUCGGAUUGAGGUCUGCAACUCGACCUCAUGAAGUCGGAGUCGCUAGUAAUCGUAGAUCAGCAACGCUACGGUGAAUACGUUCCCGGGCCUUGUACACACCGCCCGUCAAGUCACGAAAGUCGAUAACACCCGAAGCCGGUGGCCUAACCGCAAGGAGGGAGCCGUCGAAGGUGGGAUUGGUGAUUGGGACUAAGUCGUAACAAGGUAACC
rnacentral:rRNA from 1 species